AACCUUGAACACUAGCUUUUGUAGAUAUUUCCUAUUAACCAUACACGUGUGAAGCCUUGGAGAUAUAGUAGCAUUGGAUAGUUAAAACUGGAAGUUCAACACACCACUUGCUUCAUAAAUAACAGAGGAAGCAGAGAUCGUGAGGAAGCAGAGAUCAUAAAUAACAGAGGAAGCAGAGCAGAAACAGAGUAAAAAGAAAAUUGGGCGAGUCCUCCGGCAGUUCUCACUUUCAAAUUUACAGUAGUUCUACAGCAGUUUUUUUAGCAGUUCUCACUUUCAAAUUUCUAAAUACAAGUUCAAAUCUUAGCUGUACAGGUUCCAGGGAUGAAGGAGAUCAAAAUUUCAAAGGCCAAUUUGAUGUAAGCCGUGGCUUUUGUGAUGGGUGGAAUUCAAGAAGCCUGCAAUGAUAUUUAAAUAUACAUAAUACCAAGUUUUGUAUUUUUAUAUUCCCAGUAUGUGAUAUAUUGUUUUAACCAAUCCAGUUGAUUGUAUUAGUUGCAGUGGAGGUUGGCUAUUAUGGUCAAAUCAAAACCAAAGGCAAGUUAGCUGGACCUACCAAUUUGAGCAUUGGCCACAUCCUUAAUGAUGUUAGACUACUUGGUAGUUACUACUUGGUAGUUGGUUCUUCUAUUAGGAAUAUAUUUUUCUCUUGUGGCUCCUUGAACAAACGGACCAACAGAGAAGAUAGCAUUUGAAGCAAAGAACUAGCUGGGUUUGCUAGACAAUGAUGUAUUGGAUGGAGGAGUAUCCCCCAUGUAUUAAGACUCUACUAAACAGUAAUGUACCUGCUCAUUGAAAAAAAAAAAAAAAAAA